rnacentral:rRNA from 1 species
UACGUAGGGUGCGAGCGUUAAUCGGAAUUACUGGGCGUAAAGUGUGCGCAGGCGGCCGAGCAAGUCGAGUGUGAAAGCCCCGGGCUUAACUUGGGAAUUGCGCUCGAAACUACUUGGCUGGAGUGUGGCAGAGGAAGGUGGAAUUCCCGGUGUAGUGGUGGAAUGCGUAGAGAUCGGGAGGAACACCAGUGGCGAAGGCGGCUUCCUGGACCGUGGCUGACGCUGAGGCGCGAAAGCGUGGGGAGCGAUCCGG